rnacentral:rRNA from 1 species
GGGGUCUAGCUGAGGCGGGCUGGACCUCUCGGGGUUACAGCCUUGCUGAAUUAUUCACCCUUGUCUUUUGCGUACUUCUUGUUUCCUUGGUGGGUUCGCCCACCACUAGGACAAACAUAAACCUUUUGUAAUUGCAAUCAGCGUCAGUAACAAAUUAAUAAUUACAACUUUCAACAACGGAUCUCUUGGUUCUGGCAUCGAUGAAGAACGCAGCGAAAUGCGAUAAGUAGUGUGAAUUGCAGAAUUCAGUGAAUCAUCGAAUCUUUGAACGCACAUUGCGCCCUUUGGUAUUCCAAAGGGCAUGCCUGUUCGAGCGUCAUUUGUACCCUCAAGCUUUGCUUGGUGUUGGGCGUCUUGUCUCUAGCUUUGCUGGAGACUCGCCUUAAAGUAAUUGGCAGCCGGCCUACUGGUUUCGGAGCGCAGCACAAGUCGCACUCUCUAUCAGCAAAGGUCUAGCAUCCAUUAAGCCUUUUUUUCAACUUUUGACCUCGGAUCAGGUAGGGAUACCCGCUGAACUUAAGCAUAUCUA